AAUAGAUACCCUGGUAGUCCACGCCGUAAACGAUGGAUACUAGCUGUUUGAGCGCAAGUUUGAGUGGCUAAGCGAAAGUGAUAAGUAUCCCACCUGGGGAGUACGGGCGCAAGCCUGAAACUCAAAGGAAUUGACGGGGGCCCGCACAAGCGGUGGAGCAUGUGGUUUAAUUCGAUGAUACGCGAGGAACCUUACCAGGGCUUAAAUGUAGAUUGACGUAUUUGGUAAACAGAUAUUUCUUCGGACAAUUUACAAGGUGCUGCAUGGUUGUCGUCAGCUCGUGCCGUGAGGUGUCAGGUUAAGUCCUAUAACGAGCGCAACCCCUGUUGUUAGUUGCCAGCGAGUAAUGUCGGGAACUCUAGCAAGACUGCCAGUGUAAACUGUGAGGAAGGUGGGGAUGACGUCAAAUCAUCACGGCCCUUACGUCCUGGGCCACACACGUGCUACAAUGGCCGGUACAGAGAGCAGCCACUUAGCGAUAAGGAGCGAAUCUAUAAAGCCGGUCACAGUUCGGAUCGGAGUCUG
rnacentral:rRNA from 1 species